UAUAGUUCGACAUAACUUACUUUGAGCGAUACAGUUCCAUAGAAUCUUGACUGCGGCCAAUCCAGUAAAUAUUUUAAACCUUGCCGGCCCUAGUAAGGGAGAGCAGUUCGACUCCUCUGGAAGACUAGUCAGAUUAGACGCUCGCAGGCUGCAAACCCAGCCAGAUAAAGUUCAGCGUCACUAACAUUAUACAGAAUGUGAAAUAUAUUGUACCUUGUCAACUCCCCAGAACCAUAAAACUAACUUUAACGACCCCACGUGACUUUUGAGAGCCAGUAGGGGUAUCUGCCUGCGGUAUGGGCGAUUUUUACGAUCUAACUUUGAGAUAAAUACCCAAUUCAUUUGACAUCCCAAUGUCACACCGACUUCUUGCAUAUGCAGUCUGCUAUAUUCACAAGGGAAGCAUGCACAUUGCAAGAUAGACCUAAUAUUUGCUGUGUGACUUAUCUGCUACCGAUAAGCACUUGGACGUUCUUUUGUUUGCUCUCUGUGUAAGACUGCGAUUCGGCGAUGCGGGUUAACUUUGAGCCACGCGAAAAAGAAAAUCAAAACAGCGACUUCCAAAUAUUUAAUUGAAACCACAAAGUGAACGGAAGAAACUUUCAAAGGGAGAAAGAAGCCAGCUAACCAGAAAAUCCGUGCUGGAAUCAACAACAAGACAUAACAACACAAGCACGAUGUAUCAAGAAGCUGCAAUGUUAAGUUUUUAACUUCCCGGGAAAAAAGACUUUGCUCUCUUUCAUUGAAAAAAAAAACUUUGAAUCGAAGCAAGCUAGAGAACUGUCCACAAAAACACAAAUAAGCUGAAGAUCUAUUGAAACGCCAACUCGUUUAACACCGACCGCCUUUACAAAACAGCGGUGCCGUCGCUCAAAGGCUACAAGUACUGUACAGUAUUUACCGAUAAAAUGUAAGGAUACUUAAAUAUGUUCUGUUUUAACAUGCAUACUAUUUAGAGUUCCGUGCAGUUAACCGUAAAUAUACGAUUAUUGUUGUCACUUGCAUUCAGUACUUAAAAGCUACCGGGCGAUAUUGGAACUACACUUAGCUCCAAUCCGAUACACCAACAGAUAAACAUAUGUCAAUGUGCUCUUCUGACUUCUACAUCUGAUGCUGUGUUCUAACGUACUCUUAAACGAUGGGUUUUGUUAAUAAAAUAUUUUUGCAAUUUAAA